CGUGGAUCCUGCUUCUCAGAUGAAAAGCUUCCCAGCCUGCUGGGCAAAAAAAGUUGAGCUGUGGGGCUGCAAACUUGUCCCUACAGCACUGCCGGAGAGCCGGGGUGUGUGUUUGACUCAUCGCGGCUAUAGGGGGGGGGUUCCCCCGCGUCCCCUCCCUCUAUCCCUCCGCACCCCCCCGGCUCUUCUGCAUCCCCCCGGGGCUCUUCUCCCCCCGCGGUACCACGGGGGCUGGAUGCUGGCAGCCUCUCCGAAAUCGCUCACCCCCCAAAAAACCCCAUCGCCCUCCCGGCGGGGCGGCUCCGCGGCGGGGCGGUCGGAGCCGAGGGGCGGCUCUUCCUCUGCAAACUUUCCCUCUGCCCUCCCCUCCGGGCUCUCCCUCGCCUCCCUCCUUCUCUCGGCUCCCCGAUGGCGAUGGCCGGGCGGCCGGGGACCGGAGCGGGGGAGCCGCAUCCCGCCUGGCCCUUGCCCGGUCAUCGCGGCCGCUCCCAGAGCGACAUCUCGUCCUUCUCCUCCUCCCGGAGGAGCUGCCUGCUCAGGUCCAACGUGGGCGGCUCAGGUACAGAACGGAGCACAAAAGCCAACCCUUAGCAGUGAGACUGAUGUGAUAACUAGCUGGACCUCAGGGGGAGAGAUAGUAAGGAAACAAACUGGAGUUAUAGCUGUCUUUACUGGAUCUUGUUAAGUGUCUCCUCUGGUUGUUUCUGAUUUAUGUUUGUUCAAAUUUCUGUCUCAUGAAUAAAGUUAUAAAACACUAGCCUCCAAAGAGGCAGUCAAGUUUGGCAAAAUGUACAGUGCAUAAUGUACAGACCAUUCACACUAGUUGUUAUUCAUCAGCUUUCAGUUUUUGAAAGGCUUCUUUUUCUCACUCAGUAUUUAUUUGAUGAUUUUCCUAAGAGUGGCAUUUGACAUUUAAGUGAUAAUUGUCUAGCUGUCACUUGCCUAAAUUUUACUCCAAGUGGGAGAGAGGGAUUAAGCCAAAUGUCAAUAUAUAUCUCAAAUUAACUCAAUUCUCUUGCUUGAGUCUUUCUUCUUGCAUUUUUACUCAUACUCCUAUCCUUAAUACAAACCUGACCACAUGUUUUAUGUGCAGAGAUGAAGAUCUGGCCCCAUAAAAUGGAAAUUUUGGUGCUGGCUUGACUGUACUUGGGAUCUCACCUCAGCUCCUCAGGCCAGGAUAUGUUGUCUCUCCUUGGUCUCCCUCUCUUUUUACUCUACAUAAGAUUACAAGAGAGAAAUCAAAACAAACAAACAAACAAAAAAAAAAAAAAAAAAAAAAAAAAAAAGAGGAAAACUAGUGAGCAGAAGCUGAGAAUAAAGUCCCAAGAUAAGGAGCAGGGUAAAAAUGUUUUGUAAAUCUAUUACAUACAGUCAUUAAGGCAUGAUAGAAGUCUGGUAUUUCAUUUCGGCAGGGAUAAUGAGGACAGGCCUUUUUACAUAGAUUCAUAGCACCAAUGACAGAGGGGUUAUUAGGUCUGAUUUGUGCAAUAUAAGCCCUUAAAUUACUCUCAUUUACCUUUCUGUUGAGCUCAGUAACCGCUGUUUGAUUGGUGUUAUCCAGAAAGACACCCAGUCACGAUGUGAUGACCUCCAGAGACAGAAAAUCCACAGGUAGCCUCGGUAGCUUAAUCACAUUUGCUGUUGCAAUAGAUACUUGCUUUCAAGUAUCUACUUGAUAGCUAUCUACUUGCCUGUUCUCAGUUUCCAACCAUUGUUUCUUAUUGUGACUGUCUCUGCCAGACUAAACGUCCUCUUUUUAACCUGGUACUUCGUCCCUUGUGCAGCAGAAGGCUGCAGCAUCUAUGUUCAUGGGAGCCAUCCUCAUCCAGUCAAAUGCUGAGAGCGGAUGCUGUAGCCAGAGCUUCAAUUUUGCCUCUUUAUGCAAAAUCUGUCCAAAUACAAAUAUUGCAUCUAGCCAAAUACCAUGAUGGUUUCAGAACAUGCAAAGAUGUUCAUGGAUUUUCAAAGCCAGAACAUUUGAUAAACAGGCUUGAUAAUUGCCUGGUCCAGGUGUGGGAAGCUUGCAGCCCAUAAAACGGGCUUUGAGUCUGGGAAUUUGUUCUGCAUUGUACAUAUGGAUACAGAUUUUCUGCUCUUUCUUAUUACUGGAUAAUACUGAGGAUUAUAUCAGCCCUCUCCUCUACAAUUACACUCAAAAUUCUUAUUUUGCCCUGAUUUGCCCCUUUUCCUGUACCCGAUUUAGCCUGGCACUCCUGGAUAGCAAAGGCCAAGCUCUGAGGUAAGGCUUCUGUUGAAGCUCAUCUCUGUUUCCAUAGGAAUUGCAACAUGUUUCAGUGCACUUGUUUGUGAUAUUUAAAGAGAAAAGGAGAGAGGCUAUUUCAGUUUGCUUGACAGAAUUCACUUAUGUGAGCAAUAUGCUAUAUUAACAGAUGAACACUGAUAAUAGAGAUUAUAAAUAUCUGUCCAGGCCUUGUAGUCUUUCUUGCAGAAGAACACGAUAUCCCUAAUUCCUUCAUAGCCAUUCGAUUUUUUCAAGUCAUUUCCAUUUUGGGGAGAUGUCAAACAGCAGGACAUGUUUUGUUUCUGAGGGUUAACACAUUGCAGUUCUGUGGAAGAUGUGGCCAUCUGGGGCCCAUGCACCCUUCCUCCAUCCAGCCCUGCCCAGGCAUGCAGGAGCUGGCACACGGCAGGCUCUGAGAGCUCGGGGUGCGUGUGUGUGGGUGUGAGAUGGAGACAGGGCAAGAAGGGUAAGUGCUACAGCAGUAAUAUCUGUCCAAGUGGGAGGAGAGGGCAUGGAUGAGUCUGAGCAUCCAGGCAUU
rnacentral:lncRNA from 1 species